UACGGGGGGAGCAAGCGUUGUUCGGAUUUACUGGGCGUAAAGGGCGCGUAGGCGGCCACCGCAAGUCGACUGUGAAAUCUCCGGGCUUAACCCGGAAAGGUCAGCCGAUACUGCGGGGCUAGAGUGCAGAAGGGGCAACUGGAAUUCUCGGUGUAGCGGUGAAAUGCGUAGAUAUCGAGAGGAACACCUGCGGCGAAGGCGGGUGCUGGGCUGACACUGACGCUGAUGUGCGAAGCUAGGGGAGCGAACGGG
rnacentral:rRNA from 1 species